rnacentral:rRNA from 1 species
CCUACGGGGGGCAGCAGUGGGGAAUAUUGCACAAUGGGGGAAACCCUGAUGCAGCGACGCCGCGUGAGUGAAGAAGUAAUUCGUUAUGUAAAGCCCUAUCGGCAGGGAAGAAGAAGGACGGUACCUGACUAAGAAGCCCCGCCUAACUACGUCCCAGCAGCCGCGGUAAUACGUAGGGGGCAAGCGUUAUCCGGAUUUACUGGGUGUAAAGGGGGCGCGGACGGCAGCGCAAGCCAGGAGUGAAAGCCCGGGGCCUAACCCCGGGACUGCUUUUGGAACUGCGCGGCUGGAGUGCAGGAGGGGCAGGCGGAAGUCCUGGUGUAGCGGUGAGAUGCGUAGAUAUCAGGAGGAACACCAGUGGCGAAGGCGGCCUGCUGGACUGCGACUGACGUUGAGGCCCGAAAGCGUGGGGAGCAAACAGGAUUAGAUACCCUGGUAGUC